GUUUCUAUAGUAUAAUGGUCAGCACUUUGGACUCUGAAUCCAGCGAUCAGAGUUCAAGUCUCGGUAGAACCU
rnacentral:tRNA from 1 species